rnacentral:rRNA from 1 species
UACAUGGGGUGCAAACGUUGCUCGGAAUCAUUGGGCGUAAAGCGCGCGUAGGCGGUUACUUAAGUCGAAUGUGAAAGCCCUCGGCUUAACCAAGGAAGUGCAUCCGAAACUGAGUAGCUAGAGUACGAAAGAGGGUCGCGGAAUUCCCGGUGUAGAGGUGAAAUUCGUAGAUAUCGGGAGGAACACCGGUGGCGAAGGCGGCGACCUGGGUCGAGACUGACGCUGAGGCGCGAAGGCUAGGGGAGCGAACGGG